rnacentral:rRNA from 1 species
AGAGUUGAUCCUGGCUCAAGAACGAACGCUGGCGGCGCGUCUUAAGCAUGCAAGUCGAACGGCAAGAGGUAGCAAUACCUCCUAGAGUGGCGGACUGGUGAGUAACACGUGGGUGACAUACCCUUCAGAUGGGGAUAGCUAUUAGAAAUAGUAGAUAAUACCGAAUACGAGCACAGGGGUUAGAGAUCUGUGAGGAAAGGAGCUAAGGCUCCGCUGAAGGAAUGGCCUGCGGCCCAUUAGCUAGUUGGUGAGGUAAGAGCCCACCAAGGCGAUGAUGGGUAUCCGGCCUUAGAGGGUGAACGGACACAUUGGGACUGAGAUACGGCCCAGACUCCUACGGGAGGCAGCAGCUAAGAAUAUUCCGCAAUGGACGAAAGUCUGACGGAGCGACGCCGCCGUGGAUGAGGAAGGCCGGAAGGUUGUAAAAUCCUUUUGAAACUGAAGAAUAAGCGUUGUAGGGAAUGACAGCGUGGUGACAGUAGGUUUUGAAUAAGCAACGGCUAAUUACGUGCCAGCCGCCGC